GUAGUGUUUCCUUUUAUGUGUUUCACAAAUGAAGUCAGAAAGCAGAUAUUUCAUUUGAAAAGAAAAAUCUUAGGUAUUAUUGAUAUAUUGAAAAAAAACAUUUUACAGAAAACCAAGUAUAGCAAAGUGAUUGACAUUAAUCUUCUUCCAAAUAUAUAUAUUUAACUGAUAAGAUCUCAACGUUUUUAUACACGGAGGAAUAAAUAUAACAUUCUGUAUUCAAUAUAUGUCCGAGUAAUAACACCAAAAACAUUAGGCUAUUGAGUUAUGAAGAAUCGAUGAGGAGGAUGGUGCAUGGUGUUUCCAAGCAAAUCAUGAUGAUCCGCCGUAACAUUUGCGUUUGGAAAAACAGCUUGGUCGGUUAUUAAGGUAGCUUAGGGAAGAAGAAAGUUAAGGUUUUUGGGACAGCCAGCUUGCAUGUUGAAUGAAGAAGCAGUCAAAGAUUUUAAUUGAGGGAUUGCGUGAGUUGUAUUGUAUUUUCCCUCCAUUUUCUGAGAACGUAACAACGUUAAUCAAUAUUAUAAUAAAUUGCAUCCACGGAGUCAAAAGGCCUUUAUUUGUGAGGUAUUUAUAUUAUUAUAGUAUGAAAUGUUUAUGGACUUUUCUAUCACUAAUAUUUCAAUAGGAGAG
rnacentral:lncRNA from 1 species